AGAGUUUGAUCCUGGCUCAGGACGAACGCUGGCGGCGUGCUUAACACAUGCAAGUCGAACGGUAAGGCCCUUUCGGGGGUACACGAGUGGCGAACGGGUGAGUAACACGUGGGUGACCUGCCCCCUACUCUGGGAUAAGCCUGGGAAACUGGGUCUAAUACCGGAUAUGACAUGGUCCUGCAUGGGGUUGUGUGGAAAGCCAGUUACGUUAGUGUUUCUGGCGGUGGGGGAUGGGCCCGCGGCCUAUCAGCUUGUUGGUGGGGUGAUGGCCUACCAAGGCUUCGACGGGUAGCCGGCCUGAGAGGGCGUCCGGCCACACUGGGACUGAGACACGGCCCAGACUCCUACGGGAGGCAGCAGUGGGGAAUAUUGCGCAAUGGGCGAAAGCCUGACGCAGCGACGCCGCGUGAGGGACGAAGGCCUUCGGGUUGUAAACCUCUUUCAGCAGGGACGAAGCGAAAGUGACGGUACCUGCAGAAGAAGCACCGGCCAACUACGUGCCAGCCGCCGCGGUAAUAC
rnacentral:rRNA from 1 species